GGAGCCUGUCAAGGAAAGGAGAAGCCUGGAAACUCCUCUGGGACCCUCCUCACCUUCGCUCCUUCCGCAGCUCUGUCAGGCAUGUUGGAAAUUUGUCUUUCCCACAUGGUCAGUGAUGGUCCUGAGCAUCUAUGGGGAAUGGCUCUGGAUUCAGUAAGAAGGACUGACUGUUUGCUGUCUCAGUGCUAUUUCCCACAGCCCACUGCUGCUUUUACAUCACACACCAACACCUGGGAAGGAAAGAGGAGGAGAGAGGGGUGAAUAACUGCAUUGGAUUUUCUAACUACAAAUUCUUUCUACUGUUCUUAGCCUAUUCUUUGUUGUAUUGCUUGUAUAUUGCUGCAACAGUCUUCAAGUAUUUCAUUAAGUAUUGGACAGUAAGUCAUGAAAUCCGGUUACUUUUCCAUCUCCUGUCAGUCUCGUGGGCUUUAGUGACUCGUGGUGCUUUGUUGCUCUCAGGCAGUGGAGGGGCUGCAUUUUCCUGGGAGGUGUUUCCUGGGCCCUUUGGGAGUCCACCGCCUGUUAGAUAUCCAAAAUGAACAGAGCAAGAAGACAGUAGCCUUCAGGAAUUUUAGACUGUAGAUGAUUUUCUGGCAGAGGAGUUCUAUUCCUUCCGUUUCCUUGUGUUUGCCUGAGUGUCCCUUGGAAAGUUUGGCAUUGAUGUGUAAGAUCCUGGCAAUGAUUUGUACAUAUUUACUGAAUAGAAAAAAAUGGGUCAAAACCCCUUGUUCAUUUUCUAACCCCCA